rnacentral:lncRNA from 1 species
AUUUAUUGUUGAAACUGCUCCACACAAUCUCUCCAUGAGUGCUACAUCAUUAGAGGUUUAGGUUCAUUAGUGAUAGAAAUGCAUAAUUUCAUUCCACGGAUUCAAAUACAUAAUUUCAUUUGAAAUACAUACAAGCCAUAGCAUUUAAACAAGCGAUACAUUGUACUGAGAUCAAAUGUGCCCAUGAAUAUAUCAUCGUUAUAUAUGAAAGUUUGGUCUGGUAAAUAGUAGUCAAACAAAACGAUCUGGUGUACACGAACAGACAAAUGCAAUUGUUAGUCAGGAAGGUCCUUUCUGCAAAACAUCAAUACACCAGAAGUUCGACAACCACUUUCACUCCGUCAUCAUUUCUCUUCCUUGUAACUACAACAUCUACCUCGUCCAUAACUUUCCCCUUCUCUAUCUAUUACAAGUACUCCAUUGUUCUUCCUCUACCC